rnacentral:rRNA from 1 species
CCCUUAGAUGUUCUGGGCAGCACGCGCGCUACAAUGGUCUUCGCAAACGGAUGCAUUCUCGAAGGAGAAUGCCAAUCUUGGAAUCUAUGCCUUGGUCGGGACAGUUGCUUGCAAUUUUUCGACUCGAACCAGGAAUUCCUUGUAAUCGUGAUUCAUCACAUCACGAUGAAUACGUCCCUGCCCUUUGUACACACCGCCCGUCGCUCCUACCGAUCGAAGAGUUAGGUUAAUUGUUUUGAUCGAUAAGAUUUGACUAUGGUCAACUCUCGUUGUGAAAUUCUGUGAAGCUGACUGUUUAGAGGAAGGAAAAGUCGUAACA